CUGUCGGCUCGCCUGGAAAAGGGAGCCUCUAAUUCGGUGGCGCUCAGUUGCCUUGGGUUACUACUCCCCUCAUCUCCAUGCAAGCAGGCUAAUGGGAGUCGUAGUUCCACCUCUCCGGAGAGCACCGAUGGGAGGGUGCUGAAAAAAAGGGGGGACCCAAAUGGAGCUUUGGAUGCCUUCUAUUCAUCUCCCGGUGGAACCAAUGGGGGUGACCGGCAGAGUUAAGUCAGUCGAUUUUGAUUCGGUUUCACGGAGAGAGAUGAAGAGCGCAAUCCCCCGAAAGUCUCCUUAGAGAUGAUUACUUGCUACUUAAAAGAAGAACCAGAAUGGAGCCAAGGCCUUUCACUGGUGGAUUUUGAAGACAGCAUCAACGAAAAAACUCCUACCACAAAGUGUUUGUAAACAUUUUUGUCGAGCAGGUUGAAAGAUGGAGCAAAACCUCAAAGACAGCCCUGAAGCUUAGUUUCUGUUCAGUGAUAAUAGAGAGAAGCAGGAAUCUUGUAUUUCUAGUUCCCUUCAGUGUAUUUCAGCUAUUUUUUUUUUAGAUGUGUCAAGAUUUAAGAAGUAUUAUAAACGUUAGUGGCAGAAAACACGCAGAAAUCCUUAAGGGAGGCUCAAACUACUUGUGUGUAUAGUGUUCUGGUGCCAGUCUUUUAUUUAUAUAAGCCAUGUGUAUUCAUUCCAUUCCAUCCACUUGAUAUACCAAAUUAUGUUGUUGGUAAAACUUCAUGCCACUUUCAGCAUCAUGUUGAGUUCUGUUCUUAUGAAUGUAGAGUUCUACUUCACACGGGAUCCCUUUUUUCCUACCAUUUCUAAGUGCAUCUUUGAUUGCAUCAAGAGAAGUCAAACAUGUAGGCUGCAGUGAGCACUACUGAAUUUCAACCCUAAUCUGUCAAAAAAAAAAAAAAAACCAACAACAAAGAAACCCAACAAUGUGAUUUUUAUGCUAUUUUUUCUGCGGGACGGGGCAGAUUGGAGAAAAAUUUGUAGGAAAAUUGGAAGAAAAAACCAAGACAAUCACCCAUCAAAGAACAAAAAGUAAUCAUGAUGCUCAGAACAGCCUGGAAUAAGAGAAACAAGGAGGCUUGGACUGGCCAGAAUUAGGUUUCGAAAUGAACAGAAUUUAUUUUGACCUUGAAACAAAAUUUUCAGAACCUUAGAUUCUGUUUCGAGCACAAAACACUUGGAAGUUUGUUUCAAGCAUAGGCCCUUUUGUGCACCCUUGUGUAAAAUAUUUUAUAAUUAUCUGCUCUUAAUGCUGUAAUAACCCUAUCCUAAUUUUCUCCUUUGAAAGCUUAUACAUGACUAAAAGAGAAAAAAAAUGACCCCAUCUUAUGACUUUUCCAUUAGAGUGUAUUUGUUGAGUAUUAUAGUUCUUACAUCUUCCUGUCCCAAGAGUCAUUUGUCACUUAUGAAGGGAGUGAUUCUCAGCAGGUUUCUUUGAAUUAAAGACAAAAUGUACGAGCAAAUUGC